GAUAUUUCUCCUUCCGAUGGGGGGGAGGGGGCGGGGGGAGGAGGGUGGCCAGAGGAGGGCAAUCUAGCCGGUUCGUGCGAAACCGAUCUACGUAUCGCGCGGCGAAAUCUAUUCGUCGCGUCUCGCGGCGUACGUGUCAACGGGCUUCUCUCUUCUCUCUCUCUCUCUCUCUCUCUUUCUCUCUCCUCUCCUCUCCUCUCUUUCCCCGUUCUCGCCACCGUGCACGCUACGCGUCAACGGGGCCGGGGUUCCCCUUGAUCCCGGCAACUCGAUCUUUCUCGUCGCCGCAGACCGACAACGAAUAAUAACCUUUCCUAUCUCAUCGUGCUGCUCCCGGAUGUCGAGGAGGCUAACUCCGGGGGAGCCGCUCGCUCGCGAGAUCUGCCGCGCGACCUGAUCGAGAGGUUCGGAGCUGCCGAUCGUUAAACGGCGUAUAUCCGUCGUCGUCGUCGUCGUAGCUGCCGGCGGCGUUCCUUUGUGGCGGCGCCGGACGGCGAUAUCGACUCGUGUCAUUCGCGACGGUCGAUCCGGCGAGGCUCGCUCGCCCGCUCGACCGCUCGCUCGCUCAGCUCGCUCGCCCGCCCGCCUGCCCGCUCAUCCGUCUGUCGGUCCGUUUCGUCCGUUCACUAGCCCGGCCCGGCGUGGCGCGGCGCGGGGCGAGGCGACGGGCACGCACGAGGAUCUCAGAUUGCGCGAUUCCUUCCCCGAUUCCUUCUCCAUGCCCCCGCGAUCGGUGAACGACGCGCCGCGCUGGCGGACGCACGCGUCGUUGCUAGGCGUAUCGCCCGCCCGGCGUAUCGUCGUUCUUCCUCCGCUCUCUCUCGAGAGCCCACGUACGUCUCGCUCGCCGGUAGAUAAGCGGCGACCGGGUUCGUUUCUCUCUCCUUGACGAGAGACGGCUGUGACGCGUAGACGCGCGCCGAGACGCCUCCGCCUGUAAUCGCUCGCAGAGGGUACCCCGCUCGUGGCAUCUGGCCUUGAACGCGCGCAAAGAUAUCACCGACCGGGAAAGAGAGAGAGAGAGAGAGAGGGGGGGGAGGGGAGAGAAGGAAAAAGAGAACGACCGACGUCCUCUUGUUCCGAUUUCUUCGAGAAUCUCGGAGUCUCUCUCUCUCUCUCUCUCGGACAUGAUCUGUACGAUUCGCGGAUCACGGACUCGCCUCGGUUCGCCCCCGACAUUUCGGUUUUUCUCUCUGCCUGCGCGCGAGAAAAAGUGAGGCGGGUCCCGCUCUCUUUCUCGUUUUUCUCUCUUUCUCAUACAAACGCGCCGGAGCCGCGCGUCAGGUAUAAAAUGGACCUCGCCAACGGAACGUCACGCCGGAUGUCGCUUUUGCCGCCGACUCUUUCGAUCCUCUCGUGCGUUUUCUAUCUCCUCUCCCCCUCCCCCUUCCCUUCGUCCUCUUCUUCCUCUGUCCGUUGGGUUAACGGGGUUCAGGUUAGGCGUCCAGGAACGCGAGCCGAUCCUCGCGCCGAAAAUCCACGCCGGAUCGCUCCGUCGCCGUGCCGGUUGUCGAAGACGACGACGACGACGACGACGACGACGACGACGGCAACGGCGAUGAUCCGAUCGAUCUCUCCGUGCAUCUUCUCUCAAUAUCGACGCGACCUCGUCGCGGACGUGUGCGCGAUUAUCGAGCGUCGGCACACGCUCGCCGGGCGAUUCGGCGUUCGCGCUCGUUUAUCGAUCGCGUCCGCGAGGCGCUUGUCAUUCCUAUCUCGCUAUCUUUCGGCAAUAAAAGAGCACGGCCGAUUCGCAGGAUCUCGGUUUGAGGGACCCGACGCAGGCAAUGCGUGCGUGUCGGUUCCACGAGGAACGACGCCGGGAGAGAAGCGCGGCGCGGGGAGACGGGAGGAAAGACGAUCGUGCGAAUGCGACGGCGAGGAGCGCGCGGGAGGGGAGAGACGGUCAAAUUUCUCAGUCCCUACGCCGUGCGCGUUUCGGUUCGGUCUCGUGUCUUCCCGAAGCAUCCUGGCGAUUCUCCUUUUUCUUCUCUUCUCUCAUUCCUCUCCUUCCUUUUCUCCUGUCUCCGCGCGUUUACUCCUGCUGCGUGACUUUGACAGCGAAAUCUCCGCGUAAUCUCGCGGAGGAGAAGAGGGAGAUGCGCUCAUCGGGACGCAUUGGACACAAAUAUGCGAAAAAUAGUCUGUAUCGAUAAUUCUAUCUGCGAUAAGAGAAUAUUAAAAAGCGAUAUUGCACGAAUCUUUUGUUCAAUAAUAAUUUAAAAAAUAAUAGUGACGUGAGAAGAGUGACAGAUAACGAAUGUACGGCAAUUUCAUUCUUUUCCUUAAUAAUUUCUUAGUAAAAUCUUGUUCCUUUUGAGGUAAAAAUUACAAAUUGCCUAGGACUCUUGAACGUUUUAACGAAUCUUAAAAUAAAAACGGGCAGUUUGGAGUCAGCGCGGUUGUCAGAGCGAAAGAAAUACAGUAAUUACAGAAAUACGGUAACAAGUAAUUAGUUGAGAGAUAUAUUUUUAAUAAUUUAAAGCGCAAUAUUACAUGGGUUAAACGGCAUUAUGCACGUUUUUAUUUUAAGAUUUAUUUGACCCUUGACGAUUCAGGGUCACUUCCUCCUGAUGCGUCACCCGGUAUAACGAGAUCGAGAGAUCCUAUGACACUGAUUAACGAAUCAUUGUUCCUUUCUCGGUGCCGUGCUAAUUGGCGAAUCACUCUUUCUUUUCGCCUUCUUGCGGAAUUUCUGCAAUUGGUGAAUUAUGCUUUCAGCACGAAACCACUUUCAAUCGGCCGAAAGUCAGUACGGUCGGUUCAAAUGCAAUCGUUACUUGAAAUGUUGGUUUCCGGCGCUUUAAGAGAAAAAAUAAUCGUAUCGUCCCUGCGGAAUCUCCCCUUUGAAAAUGAAGUAUUGGAAUUCCGAUACCGGGCGUAAUUACGUAAAAAAGUUGGACGAAUGGAAAUCGAUUCGUCGUCCCCUCGUUGUCUCCGAAAGAAGAGUUCCCUUUGAAUUGCGACGAGUUCUGACACUGCUCUCUCUCUCUCUCUCUCUCUCUCUCUCUCUUGACGUUUUAUCGAGAAAUAAUUAUGUUGUCCUGCGAGAGAGAGAGAGGCAGGCUCGUAGAAGCGGCAGGAACAGGAUUUUAACCGGAUCAUCAUCUCAACUGUCUGUGAUAUACACGAGAUAAUCCGAAAAUUCGGGUUAGCUAACGACAUUGGCAUAAUCGGUCCUGAGGGGCAAAGCUAGAGUAGAGGCGACGUAACGACGUGACUCUCCCAGGACGUGUCUCGGAGGGCGAGGAGUGACGGUUGGAAUUUGAGGGUAACUGGUGGAGGAAAAA